AAAAAGGGCUUCUGCCAUGAAUGGCACAGAGAAUGUGGGACAACCACGGUCUCUGCGGAAUCGACAUCAAGAGAUUUCGGAAGCACAAUUUUUACAAACCGGGGCUGCUGGUGACCGUUGCUUCCUGGCGCCCCA